rnacentral:rRNA from 1 species
GAUACUGGCUCAGGAUGAACGCUAGCUACAGGCUUAACACAUGCAAGUCGAGGGGAAACGACAUCGAAAGCUUGCUUUUGAUGGGCGUCGACCGGCGCACGGGUGAGUAACGCGUAUCCAACCUGCCUACCACUUGGGGAUAACCUUGCGAAAGUAAGACUAAUACCCAAUGAUAUCUCUAGAAGACAUCUGAAAGAGAUUAAAGAUUCAUCGGUGAUGGAUGGGGAUGCGU